UUUGAACAAUUAAUCAAAUGAUCAUUUUACUACAGGUCACAUACACUGCUGUCAAAAACUCAAACUCAAUUGUGAAGAACAUUCUUCUUGCACUUGACUCUCACCAUCAGCUAAGUAACACUGUUCUAAAUCGGUUUCCCUUCAUCCUGCAGUAUUAAAUAUCAAAAUUUUAGGAAAUUGCUCUGGUAUUUCAUUAAGUGCUGCAGUGGUGAGUGUGUCAACAGGGCUGGCAACUGUGUUCCGGGGUCCUCCCUGAGGCGGAGUCAGGCAAUCUCCCGCACCUGGGACUAAUCAGCUGCAAUGUGGAGGCUGCAUUUAAACCCGGCCUGGGCAACUCUCCUUCACCAGUCCGUCAGCUACUCAUGCUAGCUUCAAUACUCACUCUGUUGGAAGCCUCCAGCUGGGAAACCUCAUCAUUUGCAACCGAUCCUGCUCAGUCCUUCACUCUCUCUGCCUGCCGUCUGCUUCAAGGUACUGGACUCACAGAUCGGACUUCUUUCCCUGUCACAAAACCACUCACUCGGAUCAGCACUCCUCCCCAAAACUGAACCGUCUCUUUGUACGAAGAGAGACUGUGUGCUCCCCGCCCUGGAAAAACCUGUCCUUUGUGCUUUCCCCACGUCCCCAGUGUUUCCGGAGAAACUUCCUGAUGCCCUGCACAUUCCCCUUUGAACAUAGAUUCUUGUAAAUAGUUGUCACCAGAUUAGGUUGAGGGGUUUAGGUGUUGUUAUUC